rnacentral:rRNA from 1 species
AUGGCAAUCUCAAAGAAGAAGACAAGCGCCCUGAUUUUGAUGGCCCUCAUAGUCAUGGCCACUGUCCUCUCCUCAUGCAACGCAAACAAUGAGAUACAGAUAGAUGCUCUCCCCCUACCCGAUAAAUGCUACAGCACGGGACUCCCUAACUGCACAAAGGAGGCGUGCAAGAAACUUUGCAACAGCCCAGGGGGGUAUUGCAGGCUCGCAUCCGACUGUUGUUGCCCUGUUUCCUAA